AAGCUGUGAGUCUGUUCAGCAGGAGGAAGAGGAGCUGAGAGCUUCAGGGAGGAGCUGAGCUGUUACUGAACUAUAGAAGAGACACAAACUUCCACAUUCAACACAGUUCAAACAUUAACUCUGAUCAUCAUGGACUAUUAUGGACUUUCUCUGCUGGUCGCCUCACUGCUAACAGGAAUCCGCUGUGAAGGACUGACUGCGGUUAAAACAGAGAUCUCCAGCUUAGAGGGCAGCUCUGUCACUCUGUCCUAUAAUUAUCCCAACCUGCAACCAGGAGAUUAUUUCUUCUGGUACCGUCAGUAUCCAGGAGAACCUCCAGAGUUUCUGAUCUCUCACUCUGCUUCAGGAGAUGAAGGAAUUAAAAAUGUUCCUGAACUGAAGAUUAAAGUGAACAAACCCCAGAUGGACCUGCUGAUCUCCUCUGCUGCAGUGACAGACUCUGCUGUGUACUACUGUGCUGUGAGGCCCACAGUGACAGGAAACACCAGAACUCUGUACAAGAACCUGCAAUAUUCCACAACAUCCACUAGAGGGCCUCACACACUGUUGAACCACUGAUUCUCAGGGCUGAUGAAAGAGGGCAGUCCUGUUAUUCACACUAAACCCUGAGCUCCUCUAGGCCAUGUAAAAACUGGAGAGUUGGGAGAGUACCUGAGCCUCACAUCAUGAUGGAGACAUUAAAAGUCACUGGACCAAUCCCUGUAUUUGCAAUCUCAUUGCUAAAAACUGCAACAAUAAACACUUUCGUAUUUAAACAUAUACACUCAAGUCUGAACUAUUUUGAUAAUUAUAUCUUAAAGGUGUUUUCUUCAGCACAGGCAUCUGAGCUCCAUUUUUUAACCUUAUUUUCACAAUAAACAUGCUAAACGAGAAGAGGAUACAGCAAUAAACACUAGAAAACAAGAACAUCUAUGGGUGG